rnacentral:rRNA from 1 species
GAUGAACGCUGGCGGCGUGCCUAAUACAUGCAAGUCGAGCGAACAGAUGAGGAGCUUGCUCCUCUGACGUUAGCGGCGGACGGGUGAGUAACACGUGGAUAACCUACCUAUAAGACUGGGAUAACUUCGGGAAACCGGAGCUAAUACCGGAUAAUAUAUUGAAUCGCAUGGUUCAAUAGUGAAAGACGGAUUUGCUGUACCUUAUAGAUGGAUCCGCGCCGCAUUAGCUAGUUGGUAAGGUAACGGCUUACCAAGGCAACGAUGCGUAGCCGACCUGAGAGGGUGAUCGGCCACACGGGAACUGGGACACGGUCCAGACUCCUACGGGAGGCAGCAGUAGGGAAUCUUCCGCAAUGGGCGAAAGCCUGACGGGGCAACGCCGCGUGAGUGAGGAAGGUCUUCGGAUCGUAAAACUCUGUUAUUGGGGAAGAACAAAUGUGUAAGUAACUAUGCACGUCUUGACGGUACCUAAUCAGAAAGCCACGGCUAACUACGUG